rnacentral:rRNA from 1 species
AAUCAACGCUGGCGGCGUGCCUCAGACAUGCAAGUCGAACGAUUAAAGCUCCCUUCGGGGAGUGCAUAAAGUGGCGCACGGGUGAGUAACACGUAAGUAAUCUACCCUCGGGUGGGGAAUAACAUCGGGAAACCGAUGCUAAUACCGCAUAAUGCAGCGGCACCGCAAGGUGACAGUUGUUAAAGAUUUAUUGCCUGGGGAGGAGCUUGCGGCAGAUUAGCUUGUUGGUAAGGAACGGCUUACCAAGGCUACGAUCUGUAUCCGGUCUAAGAGGACGGUCGGACACACUGACACUGAAUAACGGGUCAGACUCCUACGGGAGGCAGCAGUCGGGAAUUUUGGGCAAUGGGGGAAACCCUGACCCAGCAACGCCGCGUGAAGGAUGAAGUAUUUCGGUAUGUAAACUUCGAAAGAAUAGGAAGAAUUAAUGACGGUACUAUUUAUAAGGUCCGGCUAACUACGUGCCAGCCGCCGCCGUAAG